rnacentral:rRNA from 1 species
CCUACGGGUGGCAGCAGUGGGGAAUAUUGCACAAUGGGCGCAAGCCUGAUGCAGCCAUGCCGCGUGUGUGAAGAAGGCCUUCGGGUUGUAAAGCACUUUCAGCGGGGAGGAAGGCGGUGAGGUUAAUAACCUCAUCGAUUGACGUUACCCGCAGAAGAAGCACCGGCUAACUCCGUGCCAGCAGCCGCGGUAAUACGGAGGGUGCAAGCGUUAAUCGGAAUUACUGGGCGUAAAGCGCACGCAGGCGGUCUGUCAAGUCGGAUGUGAAAUCCCCGGGCUCAACCUGGGAACUGCAUUCGAAACUGGCAGGGUAGAGUCUUGUAGAGGGGGGUAGAAUUCCAGGUGGAGCGGGGAAAUGCGUAGAGAUCUGGAGGAAUACCGGUGGCGAAGGCGGCCCCCUGGACAAAGACUGACGCUCAGGUGCGAAAGCGUGGGGAGCAAACAGGAUUAGAUACCCCAGUAGUC